UACGAAGGGGGCUAGCGUUGUUCGGAAUUACUGGGCGUAAAGCGCACGUAGGCGGACAUUUAAGUCAGGGGUGAAAUCCCCAGAGCUCAACUCUGGAACUGCCUUUGAUACUGGGUGUCUUGAGUAUGGAAGAGGUGAGUGGAAUUCCGAGUGUAGAGGUGAAAUUCGUAGAUAUUCGGAGGAACACCAGUGGCGAAGGCGGCCCACUGGCUCGACACUGACGCUGAGGUGCGAAAGCGUGGGGAGCAAACAGG
rnacentral:rRNA from 1 species